CCAAUUUGACAUUGUUGUGCGGUGAAAAUAAUCUUUGUCAAAUUUGCUAUGAGAGAAAUCAGCUGUGAGAGAAAGCAGUUUGGCAUUUAAUAAACUUUUUGUUAAAAGUGUUGUUGGUACUAAUUCCCGCAUAAUCAUUAAACCUAGCGCUUCUUCGAAACUGAUUCCUGCAUAAUCAAAAAAUGAAAGCACCUCAUUAGCUGCUUUCCCUUAUAGCUUUCUCUCACAGCAAUUUUUAGCAAUAAAUUAUUUUCUCAUAGUUUACUAAACGGGUUGAGCUUC
rnacentral:lncRNA from 1 species